UGGGGAAUUUUGGACAAUGGGCGAAAGCCUGAUCCAGCAAUGCCGCGUGUGUGAAGAAGGCCUUCGGGUUGUAAAGCACUUUUGUCCGGAAAGAGAUCCUUGGCUCUAAUACAGUCGGGGGAUGACGGUACCGGAAGAAUAAGCACCGGCUAACUACGUGCCAGCAGCCGCGGUAAUACGUAGGGUGCAAGCGUUAAUCGGAAUUACUGGGCGUAAAGCGUGCGCAGGCGGUUUGCUAAGACCGAUGUGAAAUCCCCGGGCUCAACCUGGGAACUGCAUUGGUGACUGGCAGGCUAGAGUAUGGCAGAGGGGGGUAGAAUUCCACGUGUAGCAGUGAAAUGCGUAGAGAUGUGGAGGAAUACCGAUGGCGAAGGCAGCCCCCUGGGCCAAUACUGACGCUCAUGCACGAAAGCGUGGGGAGCAAACAGGAUUAGAUACCCUGGUAGUCCACGCCCUAAACGACGUCAACUAGUUGUUGGGGAUUCAUUUCCUUAGUAACGUAGCUAACGCGUGAAGUUGACCGCCU
rnacentral:rRNA from 1 species